UGGACAGAUUAUUGUAUUCGACUGUAUUCACUGCGUGAAACAAGGGAUUACAACUGUUUUUAAACGAAAAGUGAAUUAAUUAACAUAAUAGACUCCU
rnacentral:pre_miRNA from 1 species